GCGGGCAUGGACACGCGAUCAGAUUCGCUACCGCAGAGCUCUAGCUCCGGAGCGCGCCAAGUUGAAGGCCAAAGUCGAGGUUGGGAUGCCCGAUGCCUGGCGCGGGGAGACGGAGGAAGCAAAGUGCUGGAAGGAAGCAAGACUGGUAGCUGAGAUGAAAGAGGUGGUGGAGGAAUGAAUUGGUUUGGAAAAGUGAAGACAUUUUUGUAGAGGAGAACUGAAUGAGUUGCUGACAAAUGUCAGUAGGACUGCCAGGCAGUGCUGAGGACCUUGUUGAGAGUGACCUUCAAUAUUGCUAAUAAUGAGCCUGGUCAUGUGGUUUUUCUCAAAUAGCAUCCAGCUGACCAGGUGUAACUAAAGAGGUGGCAGCCAGGAGAUUUUCCAGGGCUAGAGUUCUACAAGACAGAGGCAAUGUGAGAGCAUCAAGGCAAGGAAGUUUCUGAUAUCAUUGACUGUGUGGCUGCCAUGCUAGACCUGGGAAUUGAGGCUGGAUAUGGACGGAGGUGAAGGGAGGAUGUGGCAAAUAGAGGAAAAUCUAGGAGUCAAUAACUAGGCAAUGACAAAGAACUGAUGUAUGAAACUAGUUGGGUGAGUGAGCUAGAUGGAUCCAAGGGAGUGUUGGAGAGUGGGGAAUCUGGACUCUGGACUCUGACUUAGGUGAAUGGCAUGAUCAGCCCAGAGUUUGACCAAGAGCAAAAGUGGCUUACGUGGAGUGAAGAGGAAGGUCAUUGGAGAUGAGGAGGUCAAACUGAGGGGCCUUUGUGUUGGAGGAAUUGCCCAUAUAAUGUACUGAAGUCACUGAGGAUGAUGGUGGACCUUCAGGAGAGAGGAGGAUCAUGGGCUAAAGAUUAAAGUCUUCACGACUGCCUGGUGGAAAUACAGUAUUAUAUAAUGACAUGCUACUAUGCAUCUCUACCUAACUCCUCGUCUGGUGAUGCCAUAUUGAAAUCAGCCAUACUGAGAGUAUUUACACACUGCUGAAGUCAGUAAAUGCUACAAAUCAAGGCUUGAAUGUAACCUACAUGAGAAAGAGUUGCCUUGCUCACUGCCGUAUCCCAGUAUCCCAAGAACCUUGGAGAUGCUCUAUGAAUACUGAAUGAAUCUGAGAGGAAACUAGCCCGAAGGGGGAAGGCUCUGGAAGCAAGCCCUCAUGGACCAACGGAGAGUGAGUGUCAUCAUUUUAUGUUUUCUCCAAAUCUUGUAAACAAUGUGUUUUAGUCUUAGCCUGUCAUAUGCAGCUGAAAUCUGGGGCAAAUAAAAUCACAUAGAUGCAUGUGGCUCUGUGUUAUUAUUACAGGCAAGCGAGGUAAAAUUGAAGGAUGCAAACUUGAAGGGCGUAUCACUCUCAGAUUCAUGUAAGUGCAGGGUCAGCCCCGAGAGUGGGCACCUCCUUACAUUUUGUGCCCUGGGAUUCUCCCUUGCUUUACCUUAGCCUUGAUUCUACAGCAGGUCUCUUCCAGGAACUCCCAAUUCCACAGCCUAAUGGACAUCUCCAACUCUAGCAGCUGCUUCUUUCAGACACAGCCAGAGAGCAGCAUAUACAAGAGAAUGCUUAGCUGAGGCAAAGUUUUAUUCACUCUGUCUAGCUUAGAGACAUAAUAAACUCCAGGGGCUGAAUGACGGCUCUAAAUGCUGAGAGAUAGGCCAAAGCAGUAAGAAGGAGGCAUUACUUAUUUUAGAAUAAGCGCCAUGUCAUUACCUUAUUGCUGAAAUCUUGAAGCUCAGGUGUUGACUAUUACUACGAUUAGGUCUGAUGGUAUCGCACACCCAGGAUGCCAACAGCGCCAACUCCCGCUGAUUGAGUUCCCACUGUGUGCCAAGAAAGAAGACACUAGGCCUUCAUGUACAUUGUUUCAUUCAUCAACCAGCACCCUAACUAACUCUCUUUUCUUGGUAUUUCCUGUAUGUCAGAAAAGGAAACUGAAUCUUGGGGAGAUUAAGCAACUCUUUCAAGGUCAACCGGGGAGCGGCAGAACCAGAGUUCGAAGGAAACCUUUCUGAAUCUGACGUCUGCCCCUUCUAAAUUAGGACUCUCAUCUAUCAGCCUGUGAGAAAAAAUACAGAAAGCAUCAUUCAGGCAACACAUGAACUCAAGACACUGAGACUUCGCUAACCUUCCUCGCACACAAGGUCCUAAAGGAACUACCACACGCAUGUCCACAUUUGAUGCACAUAACAGACUCUCACCGCAUUGAAAUAAACCCCAGUAUGAUCAUAAUAGCUUUUUUCUUUCAAUUUUUAUUGAACACAAGUAUUCCGACAGAAUGCAAAGUCAAAAUUCUCAGUUAGUACUCAGUAUUUACACCAGUGAGAAUGGAAACAAAGGUGGUAUCGAUGUUUCACUUGGUAAAAAGUUUUAUAACAAGAGAGAAGGCCCCCGAAGUACAGAAUGCUGGGUAGGGAUGUUAAUGGAGGUCUGAAAACCGCCAUCCAGACAGACAGCCUCAAGUGAAAACCUGGGACUCGGAAGGCUCCAUAGAAAAGUGUGAAAAUAGAGUUCCACCUCCAAAGCUGCACUAUAUACACCACAGCCCUGCAGGGUCCAGUGGCCCUGCUCGUCACACUUGAGUGCUCCUCCAGCAGAACUUGGCCAUGCCGGUCUUCAUGUGAAUACAUAUGUAUGGCACAUACACACAUAGACACAUAGACAUUGGAAACUGGAGUUGAUCCCUCCUUCAAAAAUUAAAAAAGAAAAUUAUAAGCUUUGAUCUCUUAACAUAAAAGAUAAAACAUCUUGGAAUAAAAUGACUCCCUCUUUGAUUUUAGAGAAAGCAUUGCUUUUUUUUUUUUUUUUUUUUUUUUUUUAAAGGAAAAACUCUUGCAUGCUGAGACAAACCUAUGUGUAAUGGGAGAGAACAGACCAAAAUGUGGGCAGAGUCUUAGGUCCUAGCUAAUGGCAGAGCCAGGGUUCUAGGGGGUCAGCUGUCCCGGGCCAGGUGAUCUGAGGGCUGACCUGUUUCUUCCUAACCAUCAGAACCAAAACCAGUUUGACCUAACCACAACCACUUUGACAGUCUUGACAAGGUAUGGCAUGGGCUUGGCCUGGUGUGGCAAAGCCAUCGACAUUACAAGAUGAAGAACUGAGUCCACUGAACAGCCUGGUGACCAGAAGAGCCUGCCCCUCACUGCUGGGCCCUCCCGGUCUCAGACACCCAGGCUCUCACAUUCUACUGUGUGCUCUAAGAUCUCUCUUCAUGUUCCUCUAUUCUGAGGGCCUGUGCAUUUGAACCAGAGAUCUGUGCAGGCCCUAGAAUCAAAGGGGCCAGGGCUGUGUGUUCUGGGAUCCUCCAUUUCCAUCCCCAGGAGCUGAGAAAAUGCAACAUAACCCCACAUUGAGCAAAUGACAAGACCAUUAUUCUUCACAGUUUGAAAUUAUAAUCUAGCAUCGCCACUGAUCAGACUGCAGAAGUGUCAGAACGUUGGGGAGAGUGGCCCACAGAAUGGACCCAGAGGCAGCCUUGCCACCCUAACCUCUUGCUGCUUUGUACCUUAGGAGAGGAGCGCAUGCGGAGUACUGAUUUCUGUUUACUUAGCAUCAUCUUCAUCAUCAUCAUCAUCAUCUGUAUUUCAUUUUCUUUGUUAAAAGGCUUCGAUUCCGUUUGAGUGAUUUUUGUUUCCUGAAUAUUUUUUCUGAACUAUCUGCUAUACCUUCCACAACCAAACUAUGUUGAAGUUUUAUUUCAAUACUAUGACAAAAACACGUUUCACACUAAAAUAUUCACGCAUCCACAGUGCACAAGCUUGCAGUUCUAAAGUAGAAUGAGGGAAAAAAAAGCAAAAUUUCUAUACAAAGGGCUGGCUUUUCCCUUCUCCCCCCCCUCCCAUCCCCCUUAAAGUUUCUGUAUUUUUUCCCCCACUUGGUUUCCAAUCCAGGAAAGUUGUGUUAUGACUCCAGACAGUAGGUUGUUUCUUUCUUCUUUUGUUUCUAUAAAUGCUGCCUAAGUGAACAGAAG
rnacentral:lncRNA from 1 species